rnacentral:rRNA from 1 species
AUGAACGCUGGCGGCGUGCCUAACACAUGCAAGUCGAACGGAGUUUACAUGAAACCUAGUGAUUGUAAACUUAGUGGCGGACGGGUGAGUAACGCGUGGGUAACCUGCCCUGUACUGGGGGAUAACACUUAGAAAUAGGUGCUAAUACCGCAUAAGCGCACAGUGCCGCAUGGCACAGUGUGAAAAACUCCGGUGGUACAGGAUGGACCCGCGUCUGAUUAGAUAGUUGGUGAGGUAACGGCCCACCAAGUCAACGAUCAGUAGCCGGCCUGAGAGGGUGAACGGCCACAUUGGGACUGAGACACGGCCCAAACUCCUACGGGAGGCAGCAGUGGGGAAUAUUGCACAAUGGGGGAAACCCUGAUGCAGCGACGCCGCGUGAGUGAAGAAGUAUUUCGGUAUGUAAAGCUCUAUCAGCAGGGAAGAAAAUGACGGUACCUGACUAAGAAGCCCCGGCUAACUACGUGCCAGCAGCCGCGGUAAUACGUAGGGGGCAAGCGUUAUCCGGAUUUACUGGGUGUAAAGGGAGCGUAGACGGUGAGACAAGUCUGAAGUGAAAUCCCGGGGCUCAACCCCGGAACUGCUUUGGAAACUGCCUGACUAGAGUGCAGGAGAGGUAAGUGGAAUUCCUAGUGUAGCGGUGAAAUGCGUAGAUAUUAGGAGGAACACCAGUGGCGAAGGCGAUCUGCUGGGCUCUAACUGACGCUGAGGCACGAAAGCAUGGGGAGCAAACAGGAUUAGAUACCCUGGUAGUCCACGCGGUAAACGAUGAUUACUAGGUGUCGGGGGUUUAUAAACCUUCGGUGCCGCCGCAAACGCAAUAAGUAAUCCACCUGGGGAGUACGUUCGCAAGAAUGAAACUCAAAGGAAUUGACGGGGACCCGCACAAGCGGUGGAGCAUGUGGUUUAAUUCGAAGCAACGCGAAGAACCUUACCUGGUCUUGACAUCCCGAUGAAUAACGGGUAAUGCCGUUAGUACUUCGGUACAUUGGAGACAGGUGGUGCAUGGUUGUCGUCAGCUCGUGUCGUGAGAUGUUGGGUUAAGUCCCGCAACGAGCGCAACCCUUAUCUUUAGUAGCCAGCAGUAAGAUGGGAACUCUAGAGAGACUGCCGGGGAUAACCCGGAGGAAGGUGGGGAUGACGUCAAAUCAUCAUGCCCCUUAUGACCAGGGCUACACACGUGCUACAAUGGCGUAAACAAAGGGAAGCGAAACCGCGAGGUGGAGCCAAUCCCAAAAAUAACGUCCCAGUUCGGAUUGUAGUCUGCAACUCGACUACAUGAAGCUGGAAUCGCUAGUAAUCGCAGAUCAGAAUGCUGCGGUGAAUACGUUCCCGGGUCUUGUACACACCGCCCGUCACACCAUGGGAGUCGGAAAUGCCCGAAGCCGGUGACCUAACCGAAAGGAAGGAGCCGUCGAAGGCAGGUCUGAUAACUGGGGUG